CGGCGUGUGGCGCAGUUUGGUAGCGCACUGGCAUGGGGUGUCAGGGGUCGAAGGUUCAAAUCCUUUCACGCCGACCA
rnacentral:tRNA from 1 species